rnacentral:rRNA from 1 species
GAACCAGUACCGUGAGGGAAAGGCGAAAAGAACCCCGGCGAGGGGAGUGAAAAAGAACCUGAAACCGUGUACGUACAAGCAGUGGGAGCACAGGUUUACCUGUGUGACUGCGUACCUUUUGUAUAAUGGGUCAGCGACUUAUAUUCUGUAGCAAGGUUAACCGUAUAGGGGAGCCGUAGGGAAACCGAGUCUUAACCGGGCGUUAAGUUGCAGGGUAUAGACCCGAAACCCGGUGAUCUAGCCAUGGGCAGGUUGAAGGUUGGGUAACACUAACUGGAGGACCGAACCGACUAAUGUUGAAAAAUUAGCGGAUGACCUGUGGCUGGGGGUGAAAGGCCAAUCAAACCGGGAGAUAGCUGGUUCUCCCCGAAAGCUAUUUAGGUAGCGCCUCGUGAAUUCAUCUCCGGGGGUAGAGCACUGUUUCGGCUAGGGGGCCAUCCCGGCUUACCAACCCGAUGCAAACUGCGAAUACCGGAGAAUGUUAUCACGGGAGACACACGGCGGGUGCUAACGUCCGUCGUGAAGAGGGAAACAACCCAGACCGCCAGCUAAGGUCCCAAAGUCAUGGUUAAGUGGGAAACGAUGUGGGAAGGCCCAGACAGCCAGGAUGUUGGCUUAGAAGCAGCCAUCAUUUAAAGAAAGCGUAAUAGCUCACUGGUCGAGUCGGCCUGCGCGGAAGAUGUAACGGGGCUAAACCAUGCACCGAAGCUGCGGCAGCGAACGUAUCACCCAAGACAACUUUACGGAGUUGACGAUUGACGGAGCGAAGCGACGUCAAAGCGUUCAUUAAAGUCGAGUUGGCUUAGGGAUACGUUCGUUGGGUAGGGGAGCGUUCUGUAAGCCUGUGAAGGUGUGUCGUGAGGCAUGCUGGAGGUAUCAGAAGUGCGAAUGCUGACAUAAGUAACGAUAAAGCGGGUGAAAAGCCCGCUCGCCGGAAGACCAAGGGUUCCUGUCCAACGUUAAUCGGGGCAGGGUGAGUCGACCCCUAAGGCGAGGCCGAAAGGCGUAGUCGAUGGGAAACGGGUUAAUAUUCCCGUACUUGGUGUUACUGCGAAGGGGGGACGGAGAAGGCUAUGUUGGCCGGGCGACGGUUGUCCCGGUUUAAGCGUGUAGGUGUGUGUUCCAGGUAAAUCCGGUUCACUUUAACACUGAGGCGUGACGACGAGGCACUACGGUGCUGAAGCAACAAAUGCCCUGCUUCCAGGAAAAGCCUCUAAGCAUCAGGUAACACGAAAUCGUACCCCAAACCGACACAGGUGGUCAGGUAGAGAAUACCAAGGCGCUUGAGAGAACUCGGGUGAAGGAACUAGGCAAAAUGGUGCCGUAACUUCGGGAGAAGGCACGCUGACACGUAGGUGAAGUGAUUUACUCAUGGAGCUGAAGUCAGUCGAAGAUACCAGCUGGCUGCAACUGUUUAUUAAAAACACAGCACUGUGCAAACACGAAAGUGGACGUAUACGGUGUGACGCCUGCCCGGUGCCGGAA